UACGGGGGGAGCAAGCGUUGUUCGGAUUUACUGGGCGUAAAGAGCUCGUAGGCGGUUUGUUGCGUCGGCUGUGAAAUCCCGAGGCUCAACCUCGGGUCUGCAGUCGAUACGAGCAAACUAGAGUGUUGCAGGGGAGACUGGAAUUCCUGGUGUAGCGGUGAAAUGCGCAGAUAUCAGGAGGAACACCGGUGGCGAAGGCGGGUCUCUGGGCAACACCUGACACUGAGGCACGAAAGCUAGGGGAGCAAACAGG
rnacentral:rRNA from 1 species